rnacentral:rRNA from 1 species
AGAGUUUGAUCAUGGCUCAGAGCGAACGCUGGCGGCAGGCCUAACACAUGCAAGUCGAACGAACUCUUCGGAGUUAGUGGCGGACGGGUGAGUAACACGUGGGAACGUGCCUUUAGGUUCGGAAUAACUCAGGGAAACUUGUGCUAAUACCGAAUGUGCCCUUCGGGGGAAAGAUUUAUCGCCUUUAGAGCGGCCCGCGUCUGAUUAGCUAGUUGGUGAGGUAAAGGCUCACCAAGGCGACGAUCAGUAGCUGGUCUGAGAGGAUGAUCAGCCACAUUGGGACUGAGACACGGCCCAAACUCCUACGGGAGGCAGCAGUGGGGAAUCUUGCGCAAUGGGCGAAAGCCUGACGCAGCCAUGCCGCGUGAAUGAUGAAGGUCUUAGGAUUGUAAAAUUCUUUCACCGGGGACGAUAAUGACGGUACCCGGAGAAGAAGCCCCGGCUAACUUCGUGCCAGCAGCCGCGGUAAUACGAAGGGGGCUAGCGUUGCUCGGAAUUACUGGGCGUAAAGGGAGCGUAGGCGGACAUUUAAGUCAGGGGUGAAAUCCCGGGGCUCAACCUCGGAAUUGCCUUUGAUACUGGGUGUCUUGAGUAUGAGAGAGGUGUGUGGAACUCCGAGUGUAGAGGUGAAAUUCGUAGAUAUUCGGAAGAACACCAGUGGCGAAGGCGACACACUGGCUCAUUACUGACGCUGAGGCUCGAAAGCGUGGGGAGCAAACAGGAUUAGAUACCCCGGUAGUCC